ACUUUUAAAGGAAAAUAGUUCUCCACUGGCCUUAGGAGCUAAACUUCUUGGUGCAAUUCCAAGUGAAAGUA
rnacentral:tRNA from 1 species